rnacentral:sRNA from 1 species
AAGGGAGCUGGAUGCCGGGAGGGACUGGAGCCAGCAAGGCCAGAGUGAAAGCAAAAUGACAACUACUCAGAAACACGAUCUCUUCCCGCCAGAGCCUCACUAUGUCCCUGGCUAUGCCGGCUUCUUUCCACAGCUGCGCUACCAGGUGGGGAACACCUAUGGGCGUACCACGGGGCAGCUGCUCACAGACCCCAGUGUGCAGAAGAGCCCCUGCUCUGUGCUGUCCCCCAUGUCCAAGCCCAAGUUCAUUGAGGACUUCAGCCAGUCCAAGCCCCCGAGGGUUCCCUGCCGAGACCUGACGGAGCCCUACAUCCCCCACUACACCAGUCUGAAGCCCUAUAAGAACUUUGAGAUCCUGGGCCAGCUCCCACCCUUGGAGGUGGACACCCAGGAGCCACCAGGGGUAGAGAACAUACCCAGACAGAUUCUGCUGCCUGCAGGCUUCACGCCCAACCCCCCACACCCUCCGUGCCCGCCAGGCAGGAAGGGAGACUCCAGAGACUUGGGACACCCAGUAUACGGGGAAGAGGCCUGGAAGAGCGCCACUCCUGUCUGUGAGGCCUCCAGGCAGCACCAGCUGUACCACUACCGGAGGGACGAGUACCCACCCCCCGUCCGCCAGCAGGAGACGCUAGAUGUGGGCAGGUUCCAGCAGCUGCCGCAGCUGGACCACCCUAACCUGAUCCAACGCAAGGCCAUCUCAGAACGGGCUAGCGGCCUGGGGAGACCUCCUUUGCCUCCCAGCUGCUUCCAGGAGCCCAGCUUUUCCCAAGAUGAGGCGGUGCCCUGCCUGCCUGUUCCCAUUUGGCCACAUCAGGCAUCACUGAUGUUCAGGGAAGGAAAGGGAGCCUUGCCUGGCUUCCCUGACACGUCUGAGGGCAGGUGGGUGUGCCCAGGGGAAGGCCAAGGGGGCCUGGGGUAGCCCGCACAUCUGCCCCACCCCUAGGCUAUGCUGGCUUCAUUCCCCAGUUCACCUGGGUAAUGGGGGUGAAUUACCGAGACGGCGUCACGCAAGCCAUGGACGAAUUCGACAAGAACCAGGUAGGAGAGCGCCAUCCAGGGCCUGCUCCCAGCUCACACACACACUUCCUCUCCUGCCUGGCAGCUUCCCUGGAGGGUGCCUUGAAGGCCAGGUUCCCUAAGAAGCCCGAGGAGGGGGCUCUCUCCUGUCCCCGGAGGUGCCGCCCCAACCCCUCUCUCCUGAGUCUUGCUUGGAUCCCUGCACUCAAGUUUUGGAGUCGGGGGUAGGGGGAUGCAGAAGGCUGGGAGCAUUAGCAGCUUUCCCACGGAGUGCCGGCCCUCCAGCCAGGCCCCCACUGGGACAACUUGACUAUCUGGUUGCCUGCCGGGGAGGCAGCUUGUCAGCACCUUCCUGUCUCCCCAGUUCCUGUUUAGAAACCCCCACUGUGACCUGGGCGAGAAGCUGCCUGGAACACACUGGCCCAGCAACCACAUCUACAGCAGCCAAGGCCUGAUCCCCUUCUACAUGGGGUUCAUCCCCUCCAUGCAGGACAACUAUGCACUGACAUUCGGCAACAGCACCCGGAGGGCCUACUGGAAGGAAUGGGCAAAGCGAAACCACACACUAUGAAAAUGCUUUAAUGGUGGUGUCUGUACAGCAUGGAUGUGGACAGGGAAAACAGCAAGUGCACACAGCGGGACAGGCCACGGGACAGGCUGGGAGUGAAUAAAGAGUUCACACUGCUU